GAUUAUUAGAACGAUUAUCUGUUGCACUCAUUGUUCUUUUGAUCUGUUGUAUCUCUCUUUUCACUACUUUCAAGAGUACUACCAAUCGCCCUGGGAUUCACUCCGGUGAAGAGUCGACCAAAGAUGAGAAAAAUGCUAUUGAAAAAUCGCCACAAUAAUAGGGAUUUUCCGGUGUAGAAUGAUUGCUCUCACAGAUGAAACAAUGGUUUUGAUAAAGCUUAGGAAAUGAGCAUAAAUUGGAGACAUGGC